CUCCAUUUUUGAGUAAGUUUGCCUGUCAGCCAUGGCCUAUUUUUGCCAUGUCCUUUUCGUGCAACUUCUUGCUUUUCUUUGCAGCAGACUCGGACAAAUGAGGACACAGCCCUUAUCAUUUUACCAAGAAAUUUCCUGGAAACUCACCCGUUAUUAUCCCUUUCUCCCCAAGAAUACCCAUAUAUAUCACAUUUGCACGAUAUAACAGAGGGAGAACGGAGAGAAUAGGGCACAUUCCGAGAACACACGAAAAGGGGAUUGGGGGACGGAAAACAGAGAACGCAUGGAGGGACAAGAGGGAAAUCGGGUAGUUUUGAGCAAAAGGGGGUCCUCAUCAACCUUUUUUCUACAGUUUUCUUCUUCAUUAAGAGCAAAUGUUUAACCCCAAAAUAGUCCCAAAAUCUCCCGUGAAACAGUCCUAAAGAGCAGCAAAAUCAGCCACGAAAACCAGUCGAGCAACCAAACUCCGUCGAAGAUCCGGCGAGGCUUCUAUGUCGAGGCUCCGAUUCGUUGCUUUGGCGUUUCAGUCCGCCGAUCGUUGCUCCGUUCGGGCGGAUUGAGAUGUAAAUUUUCAGGUCCAUUCACUUCCAUUUUUUCUCGGUACUUGCUUACAUUUAAAGUAUACACUUGC
rnacentral:lncRNA from 1 species